AAUUUGUGAAAAUGAUUCGAUUUGUUCUUUCCUAGUGAGGAUAAAGGUGCACUUGCCAAGCUUGUGGAAGCCAUCAAGACCAACUACAACGACAGAUAUGAGGAGAUCCGUCGUCACUGGGGAGGUGGUAUCAUGGGCCCCAAAUCAACAGCCCGCAUCACAAAGCUGGAGAAGGAGAAGGCGAAG